rnacentral:rRNA from 1 species
UACAUGCAGUCGAGCGGACCGACGGGAGCUUGCUCCCUUAGGUCAGCGGCGGACGGGUGAGUAACACGUGGGUAACCUGCCUGUAAGACUGGGAUAACUCCGGGAAACCGGGGCUAAUACCGGAUGCUUGAUUGAACCGCAUGGUUCAAUCAUAAAAGGUGGCUUUUAGCUACCACUUACAGAUGGACCCGCGGCGCAUUAGCUAGUUGGUGAGGUAACGGCUCACCAAGGCGACGAUGCGUAGCCGACCUGAGAGGGUGAUCGGCCACACUGGGACUGAGACACGGCCCAGACUCCUACGGGAGGCAGCAGUAGGGAAUCUUCCGCAAUGGACGAAAGUCUGACGGAGCAACGCCGCGUGAGUGAUGAAGGUUUUCGGAUCGUAAAACUCUGUUGUUAGGGAAGAACAAGUACCGUUCGAAUAGGGCGGUACCUUGACGGUACCUAACCAGAAAGCCACGGCUAACUACGUGCCAGCAGCCGCGGUAAUACGUAGGUGGCAAGCGUUGUCCGGAAUUAUUGGGCGUAAAGCGCGCGCAGGCGGUUUCUUAAGUCUGAUGUGAAAGCCCCCGGCUCAACCGGGGAGGGUCAUUGGAAACUGGGGAACUUGAGUGCAGAAGAGGAGAGUGGAAUUCCACGUGUAGCGGUGAAAUGCGUAGAGAUGUGGAGGAACACCAGUGGCGAAGGCGACUCUCUGGUCUGUAACUGACGCUGAGGCGCGAAAGCGUGGGGAGCGAACAGGAUUAGAUACCCUGGUAGUCCACGCCGUAAACGAUGAGUGCUAAGUGUUAGAGGGUUUCCGCCCUUUAGUGCUGCAGCAAACGCAUUAAGCACUCCGCCUGGGGAGUUACGGUCGCAAGACUGAAACUCAAAGGAAUUGACGGGGGCCCGCACAAGCGG